rnacentral:rRNA from 1 species
UCACACAAAUCUAUCCGCCUGGGUACUACGGGCAUUAGCCUAAAACCCAAAGGACUUGGCGGUUCUUUAGAUCCACCUAGAGGAGCCUGUUCUAUAACCGAUACUCCCCGUUAAACCUCACCCUCUCUUGUUUUUCCCGCCUAUAUACCGCCGUCGUAAGCUUACCCUGUGAAGGAAAUAUAUAGUAAGCAAAAUCGGCAUUGCCCAGAACGUCAGGUCGAGGUGUCGCGCAUGAAAGGGGAAGAAAUGGGCUACAUUCCCUAAUAUUAGCGAAUACGAAUGAUUGUAAUGAAAACGUACAUCUGAAGGAGGAUUUAGCAGUAAGUGGAAAAUAGAGUGUUCCACUGAAGCCGGCUCUGAAGUGCGCACAUACCGCCCGUCACUCUCCCCAAGCUCACAAGUUCAACAUAACUAAAAUGCUAUUAAUACGCGAAGGGGAGGCAAGUCGUAACAUGGUAAGUGUAC